UUUAUGGAGAGUUUGAUCCUGGCUCAGGAUGAACGCUGGCGGCGUGCCUAAUACAUGCAAGUCGAGCGAACGGACGAGAAGCUUGCUUCUCUGAUGUUAGCGGCGGACGGGUGAGUAACACGUGGAUAACCUACCUAUAAGACUGGGAUAACUUCGGGAAACCGGAGCUAAUACCGGAUAAUAUUUUGAACCGCAUGGUUCAAAAGUGAAAGACGGUCUUGCUGUCACUUAUAGAUGGAUCCGCGCUGCAUUAGCUAGUUGGUAAGGUAACGGCUUACCAAGGCAACGAUGCAUAGCCGACCUGAGAGGGUGAUCGGCCACACUGGAACUGAGACACGGUCCAGACUCCUACGGGAGGCAGCAGUAGGGAAUCUUCCGCAAUGGGCGAAAGCCUGACGGAGCAACGCCGCGUGAGUGAUGAAGGUCUUCGGAUCGUAAAACUCUGUUAUUAGGGAAGAACAUAUGUGUAAGUAACUGUGCACAUCUUGACGGUACCUAAUCAGAAAGCCACGGCUAACUACGUGCCAGCAGCCGCGGUAAUACGUGGGUGGCAAGCGUUAUCCGGAAUUAUUGGGCGUAAAGCGCGCGUAGGCGGUUUUUUAAGUCUGAUGUGAAAGCCCACGGCUCAACCGUGGAGGGUCAUUGGAAACUGGAAAACUUGAGUGCAGAAGAGGAAAGUGGAAUUCCAUGUGUAGCGGUGAAAUGCGCAGAGAUAUGGAGGAACACCAGUGGCGAAGGCGACUUUCUGGUCUGUAACUGACGCUGAUGUGCGAAAGCGUGGGGAUCAAACAGGAUUAGAUACCCUGGUAGUCCACGCCGUAAACGAUGAGUGCUAAGUGUUAGGGGGUUUCCGCCCCUUAGUGCUGCAGCUAACGCAUUAAGCACUCCGCCUGGGGAGUACGACCGCAAGGUUGAAACUCAAAGGAAUUGACGGGGACCCGCACAAGCGGUGGAGCAUGUGGUUUAAUUCGAAGCAACGCGAAGAACCUUACCAAAUCUUGACAUCCUUUGACAACUCUAGAGAUAGAGCCUUCCCCUUCGGGGGACAAAGUGACAGGUGGUGCAUGGUUGUCGUCAGCUCGUGUCGUGAGAUGUUGGGUUAAGUCCCGCAACGAGCGCAACCCUUAAGCUUAGUUGCCAUCAUUAAGUUGGGCACUCUAAGUUGACUGCCGGUGACAAACCGGAGGAAGGUGGGGAUGACGUCAAAUCAUCAUGCCCCUUAUGAUUUGGGCUACACACGUGCUACAAUGGACAAUACAAAGGGCAGCGAAACCGCGAGGUCAAGCAAAUCCCAUAAAGUUGUUCUCAGUUCGGAUUGUAGUCUGCAACUCGACUACAUGAAGCUGGAAUCGCUAGUAAUCGUAGAUCAGCAUGCUACGGUGAAUACGUUCCCGGGUCUUGUACACACCGCCCGUCACACCACGAGAGUUUGUAACACCCGAAGCCGGUGGAGUAACCUUUUAGGAGCUAGCCGUCGAAGGUGGGACAAAUGAUUGGGGUGAAGUCGUAACAAGGUAGCCGUAUCGGAAGGUGCGGCUGGAUCACCUCCUUUCU
rnacentral:rRNA from 1 species